ensembl:lncRNA
CAAUUACACGCUGAUUAUGUUUGUAUAUAUAUACCGCGCGUCUCCCAGCACACGGUGUGGAAUAUUAAAAUAGAUUACAUACAGUAGUUUACCUCAAUCAUAGUCAUAGUCUUUAUCCAUGUUAUGUUCCAUGUUAGUUUAGUUCAUUGCUGGUUUUUCUGCUCCCAGUUCCUAGUCAGUUUGUUUCUCGACACUGUUUUCCGUGACCUUGAGUCCUGCUUUGCCACGUUUAUGCCCGUUUGCCCAUCGCCUGACCUUUUGCUUGUUUUGGAUUAUGAUUUGGAUUUAUCUACCCGUGUCUCUCUUCAAUAAAACUAUUGAACUGCACUUGCAUCCAUCCCUAUCUGCGAGACGUGACAGUAUAGCCCUUCAUGGCAACAGUAUUCCCUAAUGGCAGUGAUCUUACAGCAGGAUAAUGCCCCCUGCCAUACUGUUCAGGAACAGUUUGAGGAACAUAUUUUGUUUAUUUAUUUAAACUUUAUUUAGUCAUUUAUUUUUAUUUUCUUUUUGUUUUUAUUGGGUAUGCACGAAUGUGUUCUAAUCUGUACAAAAAACAAGUUUAGCUCCCGAUUGUUGAUUCACAGAGCUAUACAAAAUAAUCUCAACUUUUUUCUCCUUUUAUAAAUGUGGUUCUCAGUGUACUGAAGUUUGUUUUUUUCCCCAUGUGCCAUGUCUUUCAAUAAAAAAAAAAUUUUUUAAAGAAAACAACUGAGUGUUUUUUGUCUAAAAUGUUCAACAUUACUGGUUGUGACCUGGCUCUUGUUUGGCAGGUGAAUGUCGUCAUAGGGGCCCGUGAUAGAGGAGGGGAACUUGCUGAAGAUGAUGGGGGCAUUCUGCUCCAGGCAGUGGUCUCUGUAGUUCACACACACACACACACACACACACCACCUUGUCCGGGCCAGUGACCAGAGCCAAGAGCUGAAUAUCAGUGUGAGGGAGCACACAGUCGCCACUGGACAUGGCUCUGAAACGGAGAAGCAGCUAUGGACUCCAAGAACUCCCUCAUGGUGGACGGCACGGUCUGAUCAAACGCCUUCAGGUCGACGACGGCGUUCACGCUCUCCACACCGACCCUCGCACUUCACUCGGCUCCCCGUCGGCGGAACUGGACCAGGCGCAUGCUGGCUGAGGUGAGGGUGCGUGUGCCUGAGCCUACAGAAAACACAUGACCGAGUCUCCUCAAACUGAACCACGAGCUCACACCACUCUCAUCUCAUCUCCUCUCUCUCUCACACACAGGGGUGAAGGGUCAGAGAGAGAAACAAGAGGAUAUCAG